GCAGAACUGACCCGGGCUUGCGCCCCGCAGUGCUCCUGGCCCACCCCCGGCCGCUGGCUCCCUCUGCCGUCCCCGCCCUCGAGCUUCUAGGUGCCUUUCUCUCGCCACUCCAAGGUGAAAGAACUGGGCUUUUCUCUCCUUUGCUCCGACUAUUUCAGGGAAACUGCAGUCGUCGACGCCUGCGUUGGCAUCGCAAAAGCCCAGGAGGGAUAGCGCAGCCGAGAUUCUCCGACAGCUCCCCACCUCUCCCGGCUCUCUGAUCUACCACGUCAGUGGUCUCCUCCAGGCAGUGCAAAGGCAGUAUCUCUCUGAAUCCCGGGACGUCUCAGCCAAAGCAGGGAAGACACCCCAAGUACGCUGGAAGGCUGGGUAAGGCGCGAAGGGCAGCCCCAUUCCAGUCUUCAAAGAGAGCUAGCUGUUCACCGCUCCUCUCCUCCAGAUUUCACCGUGCCUGAAGAACUACCAUGCUUUUCAUGUAAUAUUUUUAAAAACAUUAAAUACUUUGGAUUAAGAGAUGAUCGAGAGAACAAGUGCGCAUAUGUAUAUAUAUGUGUGUGUGUGUGUGUGUGUAUGUAUAUAUACUGUUUUGGUGCCACUCCCAUUCCAGUAACUAGGAAAUAAUAUGCCUUUUCUCCAGGAAGCACUUGUUUUAAAUCAGUAAGCUCUGAAUAGACAAAAUAGUAAUGCAUUUUCAACAACUUGCUCAAUAUUUUUAAUAUUUCAUCACAAAAUCCAGAGAUGUACAUAUAAUUCUUUACACUUAUUUUACAGAAUCAGGCAUAGUUUCUUACAGGCCUAAAUCCUGAAAAGGCAAAGGGAAGAUUCAGCAUAAAUACAACAAAGGGAGAAUAAAGACUGGAUUUAUAUUGCCAUUUGGACCAC
rnacentral:lncRNA from 1 species